AACGAACGCUGGCGGCAUGCCUAGCACAUGCAAGUCGAACGAUGCCUUCGGGCAUAGUGGCGCACGGGUGCGUAACGCGUGGGAAUCUGCCUUUCGGUUCGGAAUAACUCAGGGAAACUUGAGCUAAUACCGGAUAACGUCGCAAGACCAAAGAUUUAUCACCGAAAGAUGAGCCCGCGUAGGAUUAGCUAGUUGGUGAGGUAAAGGCUCACCAAGGCGACGAUCCUUGGCUGGUCUGAGAGGAUGAUCAGCCACACUGGGACUGAGACACGGCCCAGACUCCUACGGGAGGCAGCAGUGGGGAAUAUUGGACAAUGGGCGAAAGCCUGAUCCAGCAAUGCCGCGUGAGUGAUGAAGGCCUUAGGGUUGUAAAGCUCUUUUACCCGGGAAGAUAAUGACGGUACCGGGAGAAUAAGCCCCGGCUAACUCCGUG
rnacentral:rRNA from 1 species